rnacentral:rRNA from 1 species
AAUAGAUACCCGGGUAGUCCACGCCGUAAACAAUGGAUGCUAGCUGUAUUCGGUAUCGACCCCGGAUGUAGCGAAGCUAACGCGUUAAGCAUCCCGCCUGUGGAGUACGAGCGCAAGCUUAAAACAUAAAGGAAUUGACGGGGACCCGCACAAGCGGUGGAGCGUGUUGUUUAAUUCGAUGGUAAACGAAGAACCUUACCCAGGCUUGACAUCCUAGGAAGGUCUACGAAAGUAGACUGUGCCUUGUGAGCCUAGUGACAGGUGAUGCAUGGCCGUCGUCAGCUCGUGUCGUGAGAUGUUUGGUUAAGUCCAUCAACGAGCGCAACCCUUAUGUUUAAGUUGAAUUUCUCUAAACAGACUGCCCUGGUAACAGGGAGAAGGGGGGAUGAUGUCAGGUCAGUAUUCCCGUUACGUCUGGGGCUACAAACACGCUACAAUGGCCGGUACAAAGGGCAGCCAAGUCGCGAGACGGAGCAAAUCCCGAUCAAAGCCGGUCUCAGUUCGGAUUGGAGGCUGAAACUCGCCUCCAUGAAGCCGG